AAUGAACGCUGGCGGCGCGCCUAAUACAUGCAAGUCGAGCGAGAAGACGUAGCAAUACGUUUGUAAAGCGGCGAACGGGUGAGGAAUACAUGGGUAACCUACCCUCGAGUGGGGAAUAACUAGCCGAAAGGUUAGCUAAUACCGCGUACGCUCCUUGGACUUCGGUUCAGGGAGGAAAGCGAUACCGUGGGUAUCGCGCUCUUGGUUGGGCUCAUGUCCUAUCAGCUUGUUGGUGAGGUAACGGCUCACCAAGGCUUCGACGGGUAGCUGGUCUGAGAGGACGAUCAGCCACACUGGCACUGCGACACGGGCCAGACUCCUACGGGAGGCAGCAGUAAGGAAUAUUGCGCAAUGGGUGAAGGCCUGACGCAGCGACGCCGCGUGGGGGAGUGAAGGUC
rnacentral:rRNA from 1 species